rnacentral:rRNA from 1 species
CAAAGGUUUGGUCCUGGCCUUUUUAUUAGUUGUUAGCAAAAUUAUACAUGCAAGACUCAUCCUUCCAGUGAGAAUGCCCUCCAUGUCAACAAGACUCAGAGGAGCGGGUAUCAAGCACACCUUCAGUAGCUCAUUACACCUUGCUCAGCCACACCCCCACGGGAUACAGCAGUAAUUAAAAUUAAGCAAUAAACGAAAGUUUGACUAAGUUAUGCAACAUCAUAUAGGGUUGGUAAAUUUCGUGCCAGCCACCGCGGUCAUACGAUUAACCCUAAUUAAUAAAGCCCGGCGUAAAGAGUGUUAAAAAUACAAAAACAAUAAGAUUAAAUUUUACCUAAGUCGUAAAAAACAACAGAUAAAAAUAAAAUCAUAAACGAAAGUAAUCUUAAUAGAUCUGAAUACACUAAAGCUAAGACCCAAACUGGGAUUAGAUACCCCACUAUGCUUAGCCAUAAACAAAGAUAUUUAAUAACAAAAAUUUUCGCCAGAGUACUACUUAGCAACAGCUUAAAACUCAAAGGACUUGGCGGUGCUUUAAACCCA